GUCACUCUCUCUCCCUCACCCUCACCCUCUCCACAAACUCCAUUAAAGCUCAAUUUUGAGCUUGAAAAUCAUAAGAAUUCACCAUAGAAAAAUUAGCCACCAUAGUUAAAGCUUAUCUAGGAAACUUGAGAAGAGGAUUGAGCAAGAAAGAAAGAAGGAAAAUUUGAAGGAAAGGAGGAAGAAAAUUGCUACACAAAGUUGAAAAUAAUAUCGGGAAGGAACCCGAGGAAACGAGUCGAGGCUAAGGGACGACUCGCUUGAGAUAAGAGCAAGGAAAAAGCAGCAGAGUGAGCUGCUACUGAGUUAAAGAUUACAUCAAGCUUUUGUACGGGUAUUAUUUUAUACCCUUGUAGAUAAUUUUGAUGUAAAUAUGGAAAUGUUGUAUGUAUCAAUGAAAGUUGAGCAGUUGUAAAUAAAUUGUAAUAAUAUUAUUUUGGGUUUGCUUCUGAAAAUUUAAUAUUUGUAAAUAUGAAUUUUCUGCUUUAUGCCCUGCUAAUGAAGUAUUAAAAAUUUUGUGAUGACCAAAUUUGAUUAAAUUGUGGAAAUUGCUUUGAAGUGAUUUGAAUUGGGUUGAUUUGAGUUUUAUUGGAGAUUGGGAGUUGUGGAAAACUUUUGGAAGUGCUUUUUACAGGUCUUUGAAGAACUGGUUUCUCAAA